GACGAACGCUGGCGGCGUGCCUAAUACAUGCCAGUCGUGCGGACCUUGUUGAAAGCUUGCUUUUAAAAGGUUAGCGGCGGACGGGUGAGUAACACGUGGGCAACCUGCCUGUAAGACUGGGAUAACGCCGGGAAACCGGGGCUAAUACCAGAUCGUUUUUUCCUCCGCAUGGAGGAAAAAGGAAAGGCGGCUUCGGCUGCCACUUACAGAUGGGCCCGCGGCGCAUUAGCUAGUUGGCGGGGUAAUGGCCCACCAAGGCAACGAUGCGUAGCCGACCUGAGAGGGUGAUCGGCCACAUUGGGACUGAGACACGGCCCAAACUCCUACGGGAGGCAGCAGUAGGGAAUCUUCCGCAAUGGACGAAAGUCUGACGGAGCAACGCCGCGUGAGUGAAGAAGGCCUUCGGGUCGUAAAACUCUGUUGCCGGGGAAGAACAAGUGCCGUUCGAACAGGGCGGCGCCUUGACGGUACCCGGCCAGAAAGCCACGGCUAACUACGUG
rnacentral:rRNA from 1 species